rnacentral:lncRNA from 1 species
ACCAACACAGCUACCUACCUGACUCUCUAAUAAAUAUGCAGCUUACAGAACUCUCUGUACCUGACUCUCUAAUAAAUAUGCAGCUUACAGAAGCAUGUGUUUGAGCAAAUAGGGAAACCUCCAGUUUUCUGCCAAAGCUAAAAACAUAAUCAGCUGCCUUGUACCAAGUCAGACUAUUGGCCCAUCCACCUCAGUACUGUCUAUAUUGAUUGGCACCAGCUUUCCAGAAUUUCAGACAAGGGUCUCUCCAGGUCCUGCCUGGAGAUACCAGGGAUUGAACUGGGAACGUUCUGCAUGCAAAGCAGAUACGUUAUCACUUUAGCUAUAGUCCCUCACCAAAAUCCAAGGUACUUUUACUUCAAAAUUAUAUCGUAAAAAGUCAAAGAAACUUUUCCUUGAGGUGAAACAGGGCCUGUACCAACUCAAAAAUAGUAAGAUUCCUGUAAAUAUCUUGACAUAUUUCUUGGCCAUGACACUUCCUUAAGUAUGAUGUAGACUCUGCUGUUCAUAAUAGAAAAUCACCUCCUUUCCUCAGUCAGGAAAGCAGAAAAUAACUUGCCAGUUAGAUGAUCCAUUCCUAUGAUACACUAUUUGAACAGUAAUAAUCCUUUUCAUGACUCAUGGAUCCUCAUUUUCCUUUCAAAUGAUACGUUUUCCUGUGAAAAAUCACAGGUAAACAUGCUUAUUCAAUGCCGAUCAGCCUGACAGCUUGUUCAGACAAUGGAAGAUUGCUUCCGAAAGUUAUUGAAAUCUGCCGUCGCCAAACAUACCAACCUAAACAGACUUUUGAGGACCAAUUUAUUUCACCCCUGCUCUCUGACAGGAAUUACUAAGUGGAAUUUUUCAUUCCAGGUGAAUUUCUUUCACAAAUCUAAAAAACCCCACAAAACAACUAGAGGCAGGUCAGGUUACUUAGCGGAUAUUGGAUUAUGGAGUAUUUUCAAAACACUUUCCAUUUUCAGAAUUCAACAGCUUGACCCUGAUUCCAACCUGUCCCUUGAAUGCAGUUCAUUUCUAAAUCUAUGAGUUGCAUUGCUAUUGCAUUGGCAUAGGGAAUAGCUAUAUAUUGUUUUCAAAAUAAGUAGUUUUUGUUGGUAUCUGUUGAUAUCUGUAACAUCACUGGAAGGUCACAUGCACACACACACACAGAGGGAGAGGGGGAGAGAGAGAGAGAGAGAGAGAGAGAAAUCCAAGCCCUGCCCAGAAAGCAACACCGUGGUCGAUUCAUCAACUCAUCUUAAGCUCUCCCAGCUAGCACCAGCCACUAGUGUGUUACAACUGAAGGAUGAAGGAUCAGGUCCCACAGGAGAUCUGAGUAAUCCCCAAGUACUGGUGCCCAACACCCCAUUGUGUGGCUUUUCAAUAGCUAACUGCCAGUGGGAUAACCCACAACAGAGGUUGAGCCCUUCUCAGCGGUAGAAGCUGACACAGCCCGGCAGAUCUCCAGCCUUAUCCUCCAGAAGCACAAGGUAUCUGUUUAGGAUUGCACUGGGAUGGGAUUAAGGCUGCAGUUCCAUGUGCACCUUCCUAGGAGUGAUCCCCGCUGAUCACAGUGGAACUUACUUUUGUGUGAUGAUGCAUGAGAAUUUACUGUUAAGUGCCUAGAAUGUUGCAAGUAGCAAAUCAGGCCUUGAGUCCAAAGACUGACACAAUACAUGUUAAAACCUACCUGUGAUCAGAGAAGUGUGAUAGAUGUGUCCCCAUUUUUCCAAAUGUGGUUCAAGUUGUAAAAAAGUCCAAUAGGAGGAUUCAUGGUUCCAUGCUUCUGCAGAAUAAACAUGCUACAAGAAACCUCUAUUUGUUCAACUCCUUACUCCAGAAUCAUGCAACCCCAUUGCAAUGGAAGCAUAAAGUCAGAUACUAAUGGUUUGCCAGUUGAGAGUCAGAAUAUGUCUCUGUUAUGAGCCUAGUAACACAGGUCAUAUCUUGGCUGACAUAGUAGACAGGCCAGUUGUGGUGGAAGUAUGAGGGAUGAAAACUUCACAGGAAGUGUUUCCAUUGCUCACUUCUACCACUGGGAUGCUAAAAUGUGCCCGUCUAUUCUUAUGAUGACUAUGUUUGCUUGGGAACACAACUUAGUGGGAAAAGCACCCUAUUCCCUCUACUGCAUGGAAAAGAAAUCUCCUACACUCAGAGAUCUGGAAAGGCCUGUUAAUUAAAGUCAAGAAAGGAUAGCCUCCCCAAAUUCUCCACACUACUUGUGCCUGGC